UUAUUCCUUUAAAACAAAUGAACACAGCAAACACACAACAUGGCAACGUUGUUUCGUAGGCUGGUUUUGGUCCUGAAUGAGGCGAGGACUCGUCUUGCCUCUGAGUGCACACAUCAUGAUGACAUGGAGGGUCUGUGGGCAGAGACCACAGGGUGAGGACACAGCUGGGCCACAUACUUGACCUUGGUUAUAUUUGCUUCAGAACUGUCUUGGGCUGACCUUGUUUUGAAGCAGCAUGACCUUCCGUCUGCAUGUCCUUAUUUCGUGGUUCAGGACUCAAGUGUGUAGGUUGUAGAAAUUGCACAGAUUCCAGACAGGCUUACCGCAUGCAAAAUGCCACUGACAGGUGUGUAACGCCUACUUUUUUUUUUUUUUAACUCCAUGUGGGUCACAUACACAUUACUUCUUAGAGAGCAUGAACUUUCCUAAACCAACUCAGAACUGGGCUAUUUUGCCUGCUAACUCAUGGCCCAAUAAUACCAAGGCUUCCCAGUAGUGCUUGUUAAGAGUUUCCAAGAAGACAGGUUUGCUCUUCUUUCAGUUUUCUCUUCCAGCCCCCCAGAACUAGUCCUGGAGGCUGAAGCCAAAAGCACAUUUUUCACUCGGUCACCGUCAAAAUCAAAUUACCAAGCUAGCAGGUGCUGACGAGGCCUGUCGCUACACAAAGUUAAUUAAAAAAAAAAAAGGUAAGUGACCCAGUUUCCUGCAGCAUGUCAUUUUGGGGCCUGCCCCACCUCCCCCUGCAGAGUGCACUGGAGACGCCGAGGAUGAUGUCAUUUCACUCUGCAAGCGACAGGAAGAUGGGUUGGCACAAUGUGCAGCUUGGAGCCUGAGAUCUGACUACCAUUUGGGUUCCUGUCGGAGUCGCUGUUGAGACCAUUAAUCUUCAACUCAUGGCUGCCUCUUCUGUGGGGUUGAGUUUUCUUGUUCUGUUUGGUUCAGCAUGGCAUUCAAGAUUCCUUCACAGAAAUCUACAUUGGGGCAGGAAAACGCUACAUGAAUUAUGUCCUCGUGAAGUCACCAUCUGGCCGAUGUUCAUCUUGCUUCUUGAAAUACCAAAGCUAUCCUUCGGCACAGAUGCUGGGCCAGAGCAUAGCACACAAGUGACCGCGGUCAUAAACCAGUGUGCAAUUAAGUGUAAUUAACGCACCUGGGGCCCACCUCCGAGCUGCCAUCCUGCACUUGCACAGUGGUCAGCUUUUCUUUUUCAUAGGUGGGGCUUGGUUUUGUUUUCUUCCCUCUUUGGUGGGGGUGGGGACAGAGGUUUGCAGUUUGAAUGAGCCCCAACAUCUUCAGCAGUAAUUAAAUCACCGUCACGGGGCUGGUAAAAAUAGGAGUGUUUGUGUGUGUUCAAGAAGCUGCAUCACAUGCAAACAAUACAACACUGGCAGCUUUCUGUGGCUUGAAGAGGCCAUUGUCCUGUGCGUCUGGAAUCCGUUCUACUGUUGGCACUCACUGGCUUUGGAAAAGCCAGGCCCAGCCACUGGGCUCCUAGUGGUUUUGCGCCAGAUGGAAGAAGCGAAGAGCUCCCAAGCUUGGGAAAAUAAAAGAUAAAAACAAAACAGCCUUCCAUGACUUCCCUGUGAGCAGAAUUCCACUGCCUCUUUCCUCUCUUCCCAUCCUGGUCCUUCCAUUCGUGUGUCAAAGUGGUCCUGGGAAAGCCCAUCUGUCUUUGCAUCCCAGAGGGGCUGCCUCAGAACCUCCAGUUUCUCUGCCUGCUCUCUGUCUCCAGCCCGGAGCUGUGAUGCUGGAUCCUCCGGGCUUCAGAUCCUUCAGAUUCUUCACAGAGGGAGCAUCCAUCGCACAGAUAGAUAUCUUCCUCUUGCUAAUUUCCUCUCUCUCAUUGUAUAACUUCACUGUGCUAUUAUGCCAACAGAAUCCUGUCCAAUAUUUGGCUUUAUUAAAGACGUCUGUUAUGGACUGAA